CCUACGGGGGGCAGCAGUGGGGAAUAUUGCGCAAUGGGGGAAACCCUGAUGCAGCGACGCCGCGUGAGUGAAGAAGGAUUUCGGUAUGUAAAGCUCUAUCAGCAGGGAAGAAAAGGACGGUACCUGAUUAAGAAGCGCCGGCUAACUACGUGCCAGCAGCCGCGGGAAUACGUAGGGGGCAAGAGUUAUCCGGAUUUACGGGGGGUAAAGGGAGCGUAGACGGCAGCGCAAGUCUGAAGUGAAAUGCCGGGGCUUAACCCCGGAACUGCUUUUGAAACUGUGCAGCUAGAGUGCAGGCGAGGUAAGUGGAAUUCCUAGUGUAGCGGUGAAAUGCGUAGAUAUUAGGAGGAACACCAGUGGCGAAGGCGGCUUACUGGACUGUAACUGACGUUGAGGCUCGAAAGCGUGGGGAGCAAACAGGAUUAGAUACCCCUGUAGUC
rnacentral:rRNA from 1 species